rnacentral:rRNA from 1 species
AGAGUUUGAUCCUGGCUCACGGACGAACGCUGGCGGCGUGCCUAACACAUGCAAGUCGAGCGAUGAAGCUCCUUCGGGAGUGGAUUAGCGGCGGACGGGUGAGUAACACGUGGGCAACCUGCCUCAAAGUGGGGAAUAGCCCUCCGAAAGGAGGAUUAAUACCUCAUAAUAUGAAGGAAUCGCACGGUACCUUCAUUAAAGAUUUAUUGCUUUGAGAUGGGCCCGCGGCGCAUUAGCUAGUUGGUGAGGUAACGGCUCACCAAGGCGACGAUGCGUAGCCGACCUGAGAGGGUGAUCGGCCACAUUGGAACUGAGACACGGUCCAGACUCCUACGGGAGGCAGCAGUGGGGAAUAUUGCGCAAUGGGGGGAACCCUGACGCAGCAACGCCGCGUGAGUGAUGAAGGUCUUCGGAUUGUAAAACUCUGUCUUCAGGGACGAUAAUGACGGUACCUGAGGAGGAAGCCACGGCUAACUACGUGCCAGCAGCCGCGGUAAA